rnacentral:rRNA from 1 species
GUAGGGUGCAAGCGUUAAUCGGAAUUACUGGGCGUAAAGCGUGCGCAGGCGGUUUUGUAAGUCUGUCGUGAAAGCCCCGGGGCUCAACCUGGGAAUUGCGAUGGAGACUGCAAGGCUUGAAUCUGGCAGAGGGGGGUAGAAUUCCACGUGUAGCAGUGAAAUGCGUAGAGAUGUGGAGGAACACCGAUGGCGAAGGCAGCCCCCUGGGUCAAGAUUGACGCUCAUGCACGAAAGCGUGGGGAGCAAACAGGAUUAGAUACCCUGGUAGUCCACGCCCUAAACGAUGUCUACUAGUUGUCGGGUUUUAAUUAUCUUGGUAACGCAGCUAACGCGUGAAGUAGACCGCCUGGGGAGUACGGUCGCAAAGAUUA